GAUGAACGCUAGCUACAGGCUUAACACAUGCAAGUCGCGGGGCAGCAUGGGGGUUGCUUGCAACCCCUGAUGGCGACCGGCGCACGGGUGAGUAACGCGUAUCCAACCUGCCCUUCACCACGGGCUAACCCGGCGAAAGUCUGACUAAUACCGAAUGUUGUCCAUUGACGGCAUCCGAUUUGGACGAAAGGCUUGUCGGUGUAAGGAUGGGGAUGCGUCCGAUUAGCUUGACGGCUGGGUAACGGCCCACCGAGGCUACGAUCGGUAGGCGUUCUGAGAGGAAGGUCCCCCACACUGGAACUGAGACCCGGUCCAGACUCCUACGGGAGGCAGCAGUGAGGAAUAUUGGUCAAUGGGCGUAAGCCUGAACCAGCCAAGUAGCGUGCAGGAUGACGGCCCUAUUGGUUGUAAACUGCUUUUAUGCGGGGAUAAAGUGGCCAACGUGUGGGCUUUUGCAGGUACCGCAUGAAUAAGGACCGGCUAAUUCCGUG
rnacentral:rRNA from 1 species